rnacentral:rRNA from 1 species
GACGAACGCUGGCGGCGUGCCUAAUACAUGCAAGUCGAACGCAGUGGGGACGGGUGAGUAACACGUGGGUAACCUCCCAUCAGAGGGGAUAACCCUUGGCAACAGGUGCUAACCCGAUACGGAUGGAUGGACCAGCGGUGCAUUAGCCAGUGGGUGGGGUAACGGCCCACCAAGGCCACGAUGCAUAGCGGGCCUGAGAGGGUGAUCGGCCACACUGGAACUGAGACACGGCCCAGACUCCUACGGGAGGCAGCAGUAGGGAAUCUUCGGCAAUGGACGAAAGUCUGACCGAGCAACGCCGCGUGAGUGAAGAAGGUUUUCGGAUUGUAAAACACUGUUGUCAGAGAAGCGGUAUCUAACCAGAAAGCCACGGCUAACUACGUGCCAGCAGCCGCGGUAAUUC